rnacentral:rRNA from 1 species
UACGAAGGGAGCUAGCGUUGUUCGGAAUCACUGGGCGUAAAGCGCACGUAGGCGGAUGUGUCAGUCAGGGGUGAAAUCCCGGAGCUCAACUUCGGAACUGCCCUUGAUACAGCACAUCUGGAGUCCGGAAGAGGUGGGUGGAACUGCGAGUGUAGAGGUGAAAUUCGUAGAUAUUCGCAAGAACACCAGUGGCGAAGGCGGCUCACUGGCCCGGUACUGACGCUGAGGUGCGAAAGCGUGGGGAGCAAACAGG